AAUGGAAGCAGAAAGCUGCUAGGAAUCCCUUUCCAUCUUUUGUCUUGUCAGGCUUCUCUGUUUUGUUCACCUUCCUCCAUCUCCCUGUGGACUGCUGAAUACUGGCUACAUGAUAUUCCAGAGCCAGCCACAGCUUCCCAGAGUGAUCACCCAGAGAGGAUCACUGGGAAGAGAGCUGAAGAUUACAUUCUAGAGCCUGCCCCCUUCGAAGAGCAGCAGCCUGGCUUCAGGUGGCUACAGCAGCAGGUAAGGAAAGACUGGUUGUUCUUACCUUUUGUUUUUCAUAAAAUGUAACUUUAAGGCAAAUUUAAUGUUAAAUGUCAGUAUAUUAGACAUAGUAGAAUCACCAAAGGACUUAAAUAAUAUGAUUCCAUCUGUAAACCACCCUUGACUAAUGAGAGGAUUGGUUCUGUUAUUGGAGAACCUGUCUCAUGAUUUCUUUUGGGGGCAGGAGGUGCCUAUAUUAUAGUCAUUGCAGUUAAUGCCAGGAAGAAACUCAUGUCUUGAUGAAUUAGACACCAUUUGUGUUCUCUGGAUUUUCAUUUGUAGUGUGCAUGUUUAUAUAUAAUAUAUAUAUAUGUAUGUAUGUAUGUAUUCUGUACUCUAGACACACAGUCACAUUUGUUAAGAACAUUCACAAAAACACAGAUGAAUAUCUGAUCAGAGGAUAGAUCCCCUUUGAUACAUUGCUUUAUUCUAAGUUUUCCAAGCAAUUGAAAAUCAAUUGACUUCUUGUAAGAUAAGCAGCAUGAGUUGUUUAGAAGGAAGUUAUUAGGAGUCUGAGAAAUAUCAACUAGGUUGUCAGUUCCAUUAGUACAGUUACUGUUUACCCUCUGGAUGACAGAAAAAGACUUUUAUGUGUGUUGGGGUCAUGUACUUCUUUAUAAGGAAUAUAACUUAGUAAAACUAGUCAAAAAACUAUAAAGUGAAUAUGAUGAGCUGUUACAGAGUUUGUCAUAACCAGUUCCCAACUGUUAUAAAAUAUGAUGCAUGUGUGAUUAAAGGAAGUAAUAAAGUGUAUAUGGAAAAGAACA
rnacentral:lncRNA from 12 species